rnacentral:lncRNA from 1 species
GCUAGAGGGCUGCCUAUGAUCAGAUCUUCUGAGAACAUCAGAGAAAGACUGUCCUUGCAAUCUACACUACAGCAAGACUUCAGGACCUUGAACUUCAGGUUCAUAAUCUCACAACUGAGAAGGAUCCUUCCACACUCUUGGAACAGUGCACCCAUUGGAACUCUGAAGGUUAAGCUCACCAGGAAAGUUUCUCUCCAGAAGAAGAUAACACCCUUAAUGUGAACAGCUUUUCCCAAAAUCACGGAUUGAAACUUCUCUACACUCACGAGACUCUUAUCUUUGAAUAUUUUCCCUUGGUUAUGCUUCUGUGAACAAUAGACGUGAAAAGGGAGUCUGUUGUGUGCACUUAUGGGGCACACUUUUAUGUGUGAAGGAUUUUUCAGCCAGCCUUAUAUAUGGAUGACCUUAUAGUUUAAGAGAUAAAAGACAAAGACCCAAUGCAAUUGCUGUAAACUGACAAAGAGAUGUGUCCCUAAGUGUAUUUUUUAUUCUGUGUUCAAAGAUCACCAAUGAGAUUCCCAGUUGCCAAAUCCAAUCUUUAGUUUUCAUCUUAGUUCCUCUGAGCAACAUCUGAAAAAUCCUACAAGAUUGAGAAAUUCUUCAUAAGGAGUGUGAUAGGCAACCUUGAAAUGGCCCCAGAUAAUCCCUGCCUCCAGACUAACAAAAUGAUAUUUGUGUCCAGAACCAGUUAAAGAGCUGUGGCAGUUCUA